UUUUUCAUAAUUUCUACUUUUUCCCGUGCUUCGGGAAGAAUGCAGUGAUGCUUCGAAACUAAGCAUGCUUAUCACUUCUUCUUCUUCUUCUUCUUCUUCCUGCUUCCUGAAAAGGACUUACCUUCAAAAGUUUCAAAAGCCAAGAAUUUUACUCCUCCUUGAUCACGGUCUUCACGACGACUUUCCCUGGACUACCAUAGCAUCGAUGACUACGUUCCUCGCAUCUUAUCGUGAAUCGUAUGCAUUUUUGUCCCUCUGGUCACUCAAUCAUGUCUUAGGACGAAAGGUCCGAAUCAACACGGGUGACUGGUUGUACUACGUAGAACUUUUGCGAGCACAGUGACGGCGGGUAUUUAUUAUACCCGUGAGUACUAACAUUUUCUUUUUCUAUGUAUUAUUUAUUAGUUUAGGAUAGAUCUUCUUGCACAUCGCAUUUUUGUUUAUGUUAAUAACAUGAUACUGAGAAAUUUU